rnacentral:misc_RNA from 1 species
GAUGAAGAACGCAGCGAAAUGCGAUAAGUAGUGUGAAUUGCAGAAUUCAGUGAAUCAUCGAAUCUUUGAACGCACAUUGCGCCCCUUGGUAUUCCAUGGGGCAUGCCUGUUCGAGCGUCAUUUGUACCUUCAAGCUCUGCUUGGUGUUGGGUGUUUGUCUCGCCUCUGCUUGUAGACUCGCCUCAAAACAAUUGGCAGCCGGCGUAUUGAUUUCGGAGCGCAGUACAUCUCGCGCUUUGCACUCAUAACGACGACGUCCAAAAGUACAUUUUUACACUCUUGACCUCGGAUCAGGUAGGGAUACCCGCUGAACUUAAGCAUAUCAAUAAGCGGAGGA